UACGAAGGGGGCUAGCGUUGCUCGGAAUUACUGGGCGUAAAGGGAGCGUAGGCGGACAGUUAAGUCAGUGGUGAAAGCCCAGGGCUCAACCCUGGAAUUGCCUUUGAUACUGAUUGUCUUGAGUAUGGGAGAGGUAUGCGGAACUCCGAGUGUAGAGGUGAAAUUCGUAGAUAUUCGGAAGAACACCAGUGGCGAAGGCGGCAUACUGGCCCAUUACUGACGCUGAGGCUCGAAAGCGUGGGGAGCAAACAGG
rnacentral:rRNA from 1 species